rnacentral:ncRNA from 1 species
AUUUUGUUAAAAAAAGAUUUGACAUUACUUAACAAUACAUGAUAUACUAAUAAAGUAGUUCAAAUUACUAAUAAUAUUACCGCGGGAUGGAGCAGUUCGG